UUCGUUUGACUACAAAGUGAGUGCCAGUCGUGCCUGAACUCUUUCAUAUUUCCUUCUUUCUUUCUUCUUCCUCUUCGCAUCCACUUUUCCAAUUUUCCAAUCGUUUUCCUUGUUCCAAGAAUAAAAUAAAUUGAUUUCAAGAAAUUGGUGACAGCGGAAGAAGACGAUGAUGUCGGAGGGCAACCGUUCUUUUUCUCAUGCUCUCCUUUUUUUCUUCAGUUAUCCAUUCUAUAAACCCACAUUACCCAUACUCGUAAUUUCUAUCCGAUGAUCAAUAGUACAUAAACAUUCGCUGUACAUCUCACGCCACCUAGCCUGCUGUUUCCCUCUUCUUUUUCCCUUCUUGAUCCAACGCUUCACUUAACUUCUCCUCUACCGCCUCUGUUUCUUAAAACCGAAGCCUCUCACCCCAAAUAUCAACUUAUAUGCCCCACUCCCACUAAAGCGAAGACUUGAAAUAUUCUUUGGUUUGAUCUCAACUAAUCAAGCGUCCAGAAUCUUGAAGCAAAGCAGAGAAAUAACGAAUGAUUAUCAUCGUGGUUUUCCACUUUUUUCUUCGACAUCUUUGCUUUUACCCAAAUCGACGCCUCUCACAGCUCCUGCGCAGGCAAUGUCUUAACCAAAGGAGCUGUCACAUGUUAUGGGAAAGACAGAUAAAAUUUUUUGUUUAUAUUCAGUUCUGGGUAUGUUUCGUUGCUGUUAUUCCUUUUCAAUUUGAAUUUUCUGAUUGUGAUUGUAAGAUACAAUUGAGUGAUACUAAAUUCUUAUUGUAACUUCCCAUUCUCUGUCAUCUGAGUGAUGGAACUACUCAUGGAAGAACACACACUGAACCACAAUUCUCAGGGAGGAUCAUCAUUGCCCUCAUACACAAAGAACAAAAGCUUUUAUGUAUAUGAAUGAAUAAUGAUUCAGUCAAAAGUAGCAAAAUAAACAAGAAAACAGCUGAUGGAGGAAAUAGUUGGAGAAACUUUUGAGAAGUGCAAGGGUGCUUGCAAUGGCAAUGGAUAAGUCAAGGGUAUCAAACAAAUAUAUAUAUAUAUAUAUAUAUAUAUAUAUAUAUAUAUAUAUAUAUAUAUAUAUAUAUAUAUAUAGUUUCUACUAUAAAUAUUGUCUAGAAGAGUGUUUCAAAUUCAGUUAGUUCUUUUUUUUGAAUCCUCCAAAUUCUGAUGAGAACUAUAUCCAUACUACAUCAUUGUUCUCGUAGCUUGAAAUCUUGAGGAGCUGUCAUCACAUGUUAUGGGAAAGACAGAGAAAUUAUUUUCUUUUACCAAUUAUAUUCAUAUUUAGUCCAAAGUAUGUCAUCUCCUUCUGCUCUUAUUCUUUUUCAAUUCAAUUUUCUUAUCUAUGCAUUUUAAUUUUGAAGCAUUCUACUUUUAAAAACCUCAAUUUUAAAUUGAAUUUUUAAAUUUUACAUUGUACUUUGACUUUUUUUUCAGUAACAUCAAACUAUUUUUUUUACUUUUAAAAAAACUUCCAGUUAAAGAAUCCUACUUUCAGAAACAUCCAUUGUACAUUGAAUUUUCAAAAAUCAUCCCAUUUUCAGCAUUCUACUUUAAUUUUUCUUUCUAUAACAUCACUGAAACAUAAGACGUAACUUUUCUCAUCUAUAUAUUUUACUUUUAAAAUUUUUCCAAUGAAAGCAUUUUAUUUACGAAAACUUCCAUUUUACAUUCAUUUUAUAAAAAUCAUCCUAUUUUUUGCAUUUUAUUUUCUUAUUUUUCUUUCUAUAGCAUUAUUAAAACAUCAAAAUUUCUUUUUUUCUCAUCUAUGCAUUUUACUUUGAAAAAACUUCCAAUUAAAGCAUUCUACUCUAAAAAAUAUUCAUUUUACAUUAAAUUUUCAGAAAUCAUCAUAUUUUAGCAUUGUACUUUCACUUUUCUUUCUAUAACAUUAUUGAAACAUCAAACUUCUCUUUUUCACAUAUGUGCAUUUUACUUUGAAAAAGUUUCCAAUUAAAGCAUCCUACUUUAAAAAACAUCACUUUAACAUUGAAAUUUUCAAAAAUCAUCCUAUUUAUAGCAUUCUACUUUCACUUUUCUUUCUGUAACAUUAUUGAAACAUAAAACUUCUCUUUUUCUCAAUUAUGCAUUUUACUUUGAAAAAAAUUCCAAUUAAAGCAUUCUACUUUGCAUAUCAUCCAUUGGACUUUGAAUUUUCAAAAAUCAUCUGAUUUUUAGCAUUGUACUCCAACUUCAUCCAUUUUACAUUGCAUUUUUAAAAAUCAUUCCAUUUUUAGCAAUGUACUUUAACAUUUUUUAUCUAUAAAAUCAUUGAAACAUCAAACUUUUUUUUUGUUUUUCAUUUAUACGUUUUACUUUGAAAAAAACAUCCAAUUAAAGAAUCCUACUUUCAAAAACAUCCAUUUUACAUUGAAUUUUCAAAAAUCAUCCAAAUUUUUAGCAUUGUAUUUUAACUUUUCUUUUUGUAACAUAAUUAAAACAUUAAACUAUUUUUUUAUCUAUGUAUUUUGCUUUGAAACAACUUCUAUCUAAAGCAUUCUACUUUAAGAACCAUCCGUUUAAUGUUGAAUUUUCAAAAAUCAUCGUAUUUUUAGCAUUGUAAUUUAACUUUUCUUUUUGUAACGUCAUUAAAACAUCAAACUUCUCUUUUUCUCAUCUAUGCAUUUGACUUUGAAUUUUUUUAUAAUUCAAGCAUUCUACUUUCAAAAUAAUCGUUUUUACAUUCAAUUUUCUAAAAUCAUCCCAUUUUUAGCAUUGUAUUGUAACUUCUCUUUCUUUAACGUUAUUGAAACAUCAAACCUUUUUUUCUCAUCUAUGCAUUUUAUCUUGAAAAAUUUCCCAUUAAAGCAUUAUACUUUCAAAAUCAUCCAUUUUACGUUGAAUUUUCAAUCAGAUCAUUUUAUUUCAAAAACUUCUAUUUUACAUUUGAUUUUCAAAAAUCAUCCUGUUUUGGCAUUCUACUUUAAUUUUUUCUUUAUGUAACAUCAUUGAAACAUCAAACUUCUCUUUUUCACAUCUAUGCAUUUUACUUUGAAAAAAACUUACAAUUAUAGUAUUGUACUUUCAAAAAUUUCCAGUUUACAUUCAAUUUUCAAAAAUCAUUCCAUUUUUAGCAUUGCAUUUUAACUUUGUCUUUAUGUAAAUCAUUGAAACAUCAAACUUUUCAUUUCUCAUCUAUGCAUUUUACUUUGAAAAAAUUUUCAAAUAAAGCAUUUUAUUUUUAAAAACUUCCAUUUUACAUUUGAUUUUCAAAAAUCCUCUAUUUUUUAGCAUUAUACUUUCACUUUUGUUUUUGUAACCUUAUUCAAAUAUCACACAUCUCUUUUUCUUAUCUAUGCAUAUUACUUUAACAAAACUUCCUAUCAAAGCAUUUUAUUUUCAAAAGCUUCCAUUUUACACUGAAUUUUCAAAAAUCAUUCAUUUUUAGCAUUGUGCUCUAACUUGUUUCUCAUUUUCUCAUCUAUGCAUUUUACUUUGAAAAAAUUUACAAAUAAAUCAUUUUACUUUCAAAAUCUUACAUUUUAGAUUUAAUUCUCAAAAAUCAUCCCAUUUUUAGCAUUGCACUUUAAUUUUUUCUUUAUGUAACAUCGUUAAAACAUCAACAUUCUCAUUUCUCAUCUUUGCAUUUUACUUUGAAAGAACUUUCAAUCAAAGCACUUUAUUUUCAAAAACUUCCAUUUUACAUUCGAUCUUCAAAAAUUAUCUCAUUUUUAGCAUUAUACUUUCACUUUUGUUUCUGUAACCUCAUUGAAACACCACACAUCUCUUUUUCUCCUCUAUGCGUAUUACUUUGAAAAAACUUCCUAUCAAAGCAUUUUAUUUUCAAAAGCUUUCAUUUGACAUUGAAUUUUCAAAAAUAUCCAUUUGUAACAUUGUGCUCUAACUUGUUAACUUCUCUUUUUCUCAUCUAUGCAUUUAACUUUGAAAAAUUUCCAAUUAAAGCAUUCUACUCUCAAAAUUCUCCAUUUUAUAUUGAGUUUUAAAAAAUUAUCCAUUUUUUGGCAUUGUACUUUAACUUUCCUUUCUGUAACAAUAUUGAAACAUCAAGCUUCUCUUUUUCUCAUCUAUGCAUUUUACUUUGAAAAAUUUCCAAUUAAAGCAUUCUACUUUUAAAAUCAUCCAUUUUACAUUGAAUUUUCAAAAAUCAUCUCAUUUAUAGCAUUCUACUUUCACUUUUUUUAUGUAACAUCAAACUUCUCUUUUUCUCAUCUAUGCAUUUUACUUUGAAAAAAACUCAUAAUCAAAGCAUUUUAUUUUCAAAAACUUCCAUUUUACUUUUAAAUUUUAAAAAAUAAUCCCAUUUUUAGCAUUAUACUUUCACUUUUGUUUCUGCAUAUUAACUUUUUAUUAAUGUAACAUCUUUGAAACAUCAAACUUCUCAUUUCUCAUCUAUGCAUUUUAUUUUCGAAAAACUUUCAAUCAAAACAUUUUAUUUUUAAAAUCAUCCCAUUUUUAGCAUUCUACUUUGAAAAAACAUUCAAUCAAAACACAUUAUUUAUAAACAUACAUGCAUUAUACUUUGAAAAAAUAUCCAGUUAUAGCAUUCUACUUUAAGUUUUCCUAUUAUUAACACAUUGUAUUUUAGAAAAUCUUUCCAUUUUUAGGAUUUUACUUUCAGUUUUCUUUUCGUUAUUUUAUUGAAACAUUAAAAAAAUUCUCAUCUAUGUAUUUUACUUUGAAUUUUUUUCCAUACAUAGCAUUUUACUUUCAAUUGUCUCAUAUUAAGAACUUUGCAUUUUCAAAAUUCAUCCUUAUAUUAGCAUUAUACUUUUACUCUUCUUUCUUUUACAACAUUGUAACAUCAAACUUUGAAAAAUCUUCCUAUUAUUAGCACAUGCCAUUUUUUAAUAUCAUUUAGUAUUUAGCAUUGUACUUUUACUUUUCUUUCUAUCACAACAUUGAAACGUCACACUUUUUUCUCAUCUAUGUAUUAAAACAUCAAAAUUUCUUUUUUUCUCAUCUAUGCAUUUUCAAAAACCAUCCUAUUAUCAGCACAUUGCAUUUUUAAAAAUCGACACGUUUUUAGCGUUGUACUUUUGUUUUUAGUUUUGUUUCAACUUACAACAAGAAACAUUAAACUUCUUUUUUUCAUCUACUCAUUUUACUUUGAAAUAUCACCACAUUAAAAGUUUCCACUUAGUUUUUAUUUUUAUUUUUAACCCAUUGCAUUUUUAAAACUCGUCCUAUUUUUAGCAUCGCUCUCUUACUUUUCUUUCUGAUACAACAUUCAAACAUCAAACUUUUUUUCUCAUUUAUGCAAUUUACUUUGAAAAUUCAUUCAUUUAUCGCAUUCUACUUUCAGUUUUCUAAAUAUUCACAUUUUAUUUUUAAAAAUCAACCCAUUUUUAGCGUAAUGUUUUAAGUUUCCUUUGUGUUAAAACAUUAAAACAUAUCAUUAUGCUUUCAGAAAUUAUCCAUUUAAACAUUGCUUUCUUUUCUAUUACAACAAUGAAACAUCAAACUUUGAAAAAUCUUCUAUAUAUAGAGAAACUUUCAGUUUUCUGACUAUUCUUAGCACAUUGCAAUUUAAAAAUCAUCCCAUUUUUAGCAUUUUAUUCUCACUUGUCUUUCUGUAACAACAAUGAAACGUGAAACUUCUUUUUGCUCAUUUAUGCAUUUACUUUGAAAAAUCUUCCAAGUAUAGCAUCAUACUUUUUGUUUUAUUUUUUAUUAGUACACUUUAUUUUCAAAAAUCAUCCCAUUUUUAGCAUUGUGCUUUCACUUUCCUUUCUGUAACAACAUUGAAUCAUCAAACUUUUUUUUUUCUCAUCUAUGUAUUUUGUUUUGGAAAAUCAUCCAUUUAUAGCAUUCUACUUCCAAUUUUCUAAGUAUUAACACAUUGCUUUUUUAAAAAUCAUCCUCUUUUUAUCAUUGUGCUUUCACUUUUCUUUUCUGUUACAACAUUAAAACAUCAUUUUUUUUCCGAUUAAGCAUUUUACUUUGAAUAUUCAUCACAUUAUAGCUUUCUACUUCCAGUUUUCUAAAUAUUAAACACAAUGCAUUUUUAAAGAUCAUCCUGUAUUAACAUUGUGCUUUCACUUAGCUUUCUGUUAGAACUUAGAACAUACAAACAUUAAACUUUUUUUCCAUCUAUGCAAAUUACUUUGAAAAAUCAUGCAUUUAUACCAUUCUACUAUUAGUUUUUUUUUUAAAAUAUUUACACAUACUUUUCAAUGUGAUGAUUUUUCAAAGUAAUUUACAUAGAUGAGAAAAAAAAGUUCGAUGUUUCAAUAUUGUAAUGUGUAAAUGGGAUAUUCCAUUUUGAAAAUUCAUCUAAUUUUUAGCAUUGUACUUUCAUUUUUCUUUUUGUUACAACAUUAAAACCUCAAAACUUCAUUUUUCUCAUCUAUGUCAUUUCAUUUUGAAUUAACAUGAACCAUUCAAGUGGAUGCUAAGAAUGUACGAAUAAUAGAAAAAUAAAUUUAGAAAUUUUAUUAUUAGUGGACACGUAGUGUAAGGAUAUGGAUAAUGAGUUUGUUUAGGGAUACGUUAGGAUUGGAAUGAUGACAAAAAGUGUAUUACAUAGCAAAAAGAUAAAUGACUACAAGAUUGGAUAUUUGUACUAAUAAGUAACAUUUGAAUAUUCAAGCAUCCUAUAUGUAUAUGUGCUCUAUAUGUAUAUGUGCUUUGAGGUUGAGAAUAUAAUUAGCAUGAUGAGGUCAAGGAUUGAGGGUAUGCCGGGUAGGAAUGUAUCAUAAACUUAAGAAUAUUGGUAAGUCGAGGAUUAUGUAAGCCUUGUGUGUCAUAAUUUGAAUGGUUAGACCAGAGGAGUAUGAUUUUUCUACUUUGAUGUUAAAUACUUCAUUGAAAAAGCAUGAACUAGAUUUAGUCGUAUGUGCAUGAGAUAUAAUGAUCACUUUAGUAUGAAUGAUAAUACAUGAUACAUAUUAGGACAAUGUUAAGUUUUUGUUCUCUUAUUAUUAGCAUAUUUCAUUUUAGAAAAUCAUCUAAUUUUUAACAAUUUACUUUUGUCUUUCUGUCACUUUGAAACAUGAAACUUCUUUUUUCUCAUCUAUACAUUUUAUUUUGAAUUUUAGCAUUCUAUUUUCAUUUUUCUUAUUAGCACAUUGCAUUUUUAAAAAUCAUCUCAUUUUCACAGUUGUACUCACUUUCCUUUUUUCCUACAACAUUGAAUAAUCAAACUUUUUUUUUUCUCAUGCAUAUCCUUUACUUUGAAAAAUCAUUACAUUAUAACAUUCUACUUUCAGUUUUCUUAUAACAAAAUUACAAAAAUGGUCCCUGAGGUAUAGUGGAAAUUGCCACUUUGGUCCAAAAAGUUUAGAGUUGCGGUUUUAGUCCAAAUAUUUUUAAACAUAUUUAAAAUUACAAAUUUGGCCUUUGUUAUUUUAUUUUUUUAUUUGUUUUAUUAAGUUUGUAAUUUCUCAUUAAAAAUUAAACAUAUUCUACAUUCAAUUUUCAUAUGAGAAAAUUGCAAAACUUUGUACUUUCUCAGUUGGAGACAACGAGGAAGAUGACGACCUAAACAUCAUCUGGAAAUCAUUUGAACCUAAACGUCACCCACUUCUUUUUCCGGUGAAACCCUAAACUAGACAAAGAUGACAACGCCGUUUGAAACCGUAACCUUAGCCUCGUCCUAAACCUGACCCCAACGUGGUUGUCGAACGACGACCACAUUCCUCUUUCUUUAGAAAUUUGUUCUUUUUAAAUCCUAAUAUUCUUCCUCGUACCUCAUCAAUUUUGUGAUUUAGUCCACGGAAGAAUUUGUAAAUUCUAUUAGUCUCUAAUAUGCGUUUUCCAUCUACGUAAAAGUAUUGAGAAUGUCCAAUUGUUUCUGGUAGCGAUUUAAGGUUUAAGUUCACCUUGUCAAAGAUCAUGUAGGAUACCUUUGAUUUUGAAUAAGGUGAAUGUAUUUCUUGGUUUGAAAAUGUGUCUUGUGCUGCUUCCCAGAUUUCAAAGGCUGUUUCACCAACUUUAGGUGUCAUAAUAUUUAGGAGCCAAGAUAGUACCAUAUUCUAUUUAAAUCCUGGACGUUUCUCUUUUGGUUGAACAAGAUCACUUGAUAGGUAAUCUUAUUUUCCUCUUAUAAAAAUCGAACCAGUGUGACCAUAAAUUGUAAUAUCACUCACUCAUUCAGCUUGUAAGCUUGUAACCGAUGGUAAGAAUGAUAUAGUCAUAAUUUGGAUUUGACUGAAUUGGAGGUGGGUUCUCCGAUAAAGAUUCAGAGGUUACUUUGUUGACUAGGGCAGUAGGGAUAUCUCCGAAUCUGAUUCCAGUAAUGACGACGACAAAGAAAAAACACGAAGACAUAUUGAGUAAGGUUGGGUCAAGAUGAAACCAUCAAGAAACCGAUAAUAGUACCGAGAAUAAGAAUCGAAUUAAAAAUACAUUGAACUAGAAGGAUAUAAUUAUAAAGGAAUAACUAGGUGAUUCGUGUUUAGAGUUGAUGGUUAUAUGAGAUUAUGGAAAUUUUUCCAUAGUGGAAGUUGGUUAUUGAAACUUACAUGUGAGUUAGAAACUUUAAUGCAAGGAAGGUGUUCAAUGAGUGUAUCUUGAAUUUGAACUUCAUUUCCAUGAAAUUGUUUUUAGUAACAAAGUUUCAAUGAAUUUUUUUGUGAUAUCAUUGGCUAAGUCUCGGUGAUUUUGACGCCUCCUCGUCACAAAAAGACAUUGCAUGCAAGGUUGAACUCUAACACAUUUGGUAGUAACAAAAAUUUGAAAUUGUGAAAUGAGCAUCGGUGGGAUAGUAUCCAAUCGAUUUGUUCACAAAGUAAGGACCAUAGAGAAACAUAGUAUGCAUGUUUAUAACAUGGCAUGACUGAUGUUUAAUUGAAGUGUUUAGUUGAUUACUCGAAACAUUAUACAAUGAAUAAAGUUCAAUUAAUAUGGUGAUUAAAUAAUAAAAGUUUUAUUUAUAUUAAAUAGUUUUGAGACCAUAGUUAACUAGGUUAUUAUUGUGUUUCACUUUGUAUGUUUUACUUCCCGAAUAAUUGGAUUAUUCAAACAUCCACAGUCGAUCGUACUUUUGGAAGUAGCGAAUUAAGACUGUUAUGAACUGGAUUGUAGAUUGUCUAUUGAGAUUAGAAAUAGAAUUGAUAAACACACGCUCAGAGAAUUAUUUCAUGGAUUUUAUCACGAGUAAUUUUGAGACGAUAAUAUAUUAUAUUCUUGAAACAGAGAUAUAUGAGUUGUUUACAAGUCUGUUGUGCAUUGAUAAUACGUAAACACAUCAGUUUCUUGAUGUUAUAAAAUGUAUUGUUGUGCAUGAUUUGAUGAAUGAAUAGUACAAACAUAUAAUUUCAACUUUAUCCGUUCCAUUUGCCUUAACGGGAAAAUCGAUAUAUGUGGGCCCCUCGAUGAUUUGAUGUCGACAUCUAAAGCGCUUGGCCAAGCCUAGACUUAAUUGAUGUGUUCAAGUAGUAGUAUGAUAUCAGUCGUCAUAAAUCAGAGAUAUAUGAGUUGUUGUUUACGAGUCAAUUGUGCAUUGAUAAUACAUAAACGCAUCAGUAACUUGAAACAGAGUUAUAUGAGUUGCUGUUUAUGAGUCAGUUGUGCAUUGAUAAUACGUAAACGCAUCAGUAACUUGAUGUUAUAAAAUGUAUUGUUGUGCAUGAUUUGAUGAGUGAAUAGUACAGACAUAUAAGUUGAAGUUUAUCCGUUCCUUUUGCCUUAACUGGAAAAUCGAUAUAUGUGGGCCCCUCGAUAAUUUAAUGUCGACAACUAAAGUGCUUGGUCAAGCCUAUUGCUCCCAACAACCUUUAACUACCUACAUGAUCCCAACCAACUUGUCACUGAGUCUCCCGACUCUCACAAUGCACUAACACCCAAACAUGUCAAAAAAACUAAUGAUCCGAGACCUAAGAGUCUCAAUAAAAAAACUAUCGGGUCCCACCCAUAUGAAUCAUACAACCAUUGGUUCACGAUACAUCGUGACACCUACUACCCACUAUACGAUAAGCUCACGGUAUUAUGUUGAUAUUACCUUCAUCCCAUCAAUGGCCUGAAGACUCACGACCAACACAACAGGGGCCCAAAGAUAUCUAACCAUCAAUCCACCGACUUGUGGGAACCCAAUGAACAUCCCUCUUAGUGUUAACUGAACACAAAUACGGGUCAUACCCAUCUAUCACGCACAAUUCCUUUCACAAUACAAGCGGCUACCAAUGCAAAAUUUAGGCGAAAACAUGGUCGUACACAACCAGAGAAUGAGAUAGGCGGUUGCACUCUUGUUCCAAUUUAAGGGCUACAAACAAAUUAAGAACCAUGCAAAUAACUCAAGCCAAGUGUUCUCAUGCUAUCUUAUUUAACCGACAGAUAUCACCAAGGGAAAACACAUAACCAACCCUAGAUCUACUACACUCCUUCUUCCUCACAGCCCUUACCCAUUGGAUGUGGUACCAGUUGAUCUAACCGAAAUGACGAACCUCAACCGCUAACAGAAUCAUCCUCAUGAAUGGCCGAAGGCUAAGAACCCAUACCUUGAGUAAAACCGAACAGAUCCCAUCAAUACGCAAAUAGCUCAAUAAAGCUUCCAAAGCCAUGAAAAAUGUUGACAAACUCUGGUCGGGUCAAUCCAAAUACCAACCCCACCGACACGACACGCCAAAAUUGCAUUAUGCACAGAUCCUAAGCCACACCUGAAGAACUCCACAACCUUGCCCCAAUAUUCGAACUUCCAAUAACCAAGAACAUCUGCCAAACUCGAGUCUGCUAUGAAUAAUAAUUUCACAACCAACCAUUGAGGGUACCCAUACCCAGAAACCAAAAUGUACAAUGUACAAACUUUGACGAUAGGCCAACAUAUCCAUUGAAUUCCAACUGAUAUAGCUUGAAACUUUUGAAAAACCUCUGUUAUUGACGAUUAACGACAAGACUAACGAUCGAGAGUGCUUUGACAACUAAUCCAUUGAUCCAAUACACUACUAGACAAACCUAUGAGGGACUAAACAUACCAAACUCUACAACUGAUUGAUUGAUCAGCAACUGCCCAACCUAGACUAUAGAUAUCAAUCUAUACAACAAGCUGACAAAUCCCUCAACAAUCGAUACUAAAUCUGAGUGACCCAACUGCCUCUUGAACUAUUCCUCGAUGUUUCUGAUAGGAACCCCUGGCUACAACGAGCUCCUGUCCAAUAGCUUAUUGCCGCAAAUAUGACUCUUGCAUUCCUGAACACAUACAUCUGAUGACAACUUGCUCUGCACCCCCGUAUUGACCAAAUCCUGAACAAAAGUUUCACCUACCCGAACCACAAAUCCCUAUGGCCCAUUCUUCUGAAACCAUAACUCGAACAGAUCGCUGAUCCUCUAAGCUGAAUAUCUAGCUCUCCCCCACUUAGGGUUCGAAUCACCACCAACUAACGUUGCAAACAAACCAAAACUCAAACCGGCUCACCUAGAUGCAUAACAUCCCUGACCCUUGGGAUAUAUUGUCACACCCCGACCAACGGCGGAAACGUCGGGAUUGCGACUUAAACAUUUGGAUCAUAGUUAACAACAUAUAAGGAAAUAAUAACAGAAUUCAUUCGACAUUACAUUCAUCUGAAGUAUGAAUAUGACAAAACACAUUGUUUAAUAGUCCAAAAGCGUUAUACGCGGAUUUCAAUUUCUUACAACAUAAAAGAGACAAAAGGCUACUAUAGAGCCAACAAUUUAUUCUCAACGUCAAACCCAUCAUCCUCACACAUGGUGAGAGUUCUUCUGGCCACCUUGAACACCUAAAGACACAUACAUUUUGAAAAUACGUCAACAAUAAUGUUGGUGAGCUUUGUAGGUUUUGUUUUGACUCCGAAGAUUUUUAUAAUUCAAAAUAAUGUUUCCAAAGACCAGUAAAUUAUAAAGCAUAUUUUUCUAUUCAACCACUUUUUAAACGAUAAAUAUUAGUCAUUUUCAUGACGAUUUUUAUUCUUUGGAUCUUGUCCGAUACGAAAAGUUAUGUCAUUAGGAGAAGUAUAUAACGUCCUAACACUCGACACUCCCGGUCCCAAAUUGGGAUAAUUGACUCGAUCUAGAUCUAUACAUCUUCGAAUAAAAAUCUUCAAUAUAUUAAAUUGCCCAUAACCGACACUAUUCGUCGCUCCUCCACAAGCCGCAUAGGCACAAUAAACAAGCCACACAGGCACAAUACAAAUAAACAUGGAGGAAUCGAGAUCAUUACUAACGUUUAAAAGCAGUGGUAUAGUAACGAAGAAAGAAACACUUGACGCCUGUUGCCUCGUCAGACGAAGUUGUAGCUAGCAACCACAGAUGGAAAAUAAUCAUUCGUAUAAAUCUUUCCAUAAUAAUUAGAUCUACACCAAAGUUCUUUAUUAUAAAUCUAUGCCGUGUACAUAGACCUACAGUAUAUGAUUCCUCCUGGAUUAACGGUUAUAGAGCUAGGUGUCGAUUCCAAGGUCUGAUCCUUACAAGGGAAAAACACACCAUCAACAAACACUCUCCUUCACCCCUUUCGAUACAUUCCUCCCACAAGCACACACGGGAUACACAAUCCGCAAAAUACAUGGCAAUAAAAAUCCGUCGCUUCCAAUGACCACCAACGCGAGUCUUAAUUUAUUUAUGAUUUUAUUUUUAGCUAGUGCAUAAAGUUAAAUAUUAAAUUUAACCUAGCUUUCGAAUAAAGAGACGGUAGUGACUCAAGUAAUUUCAAUCUACCAACCGAUAGGAAAGACGUUCCGUUAGCGUAGUUGAGUACUUCAUACGUGUCGGUGUUACGUCGGUUGACCGGUUGUCGCUUAAAUCGAAUAUUUUUGUAUUUUUAAUAUUUACUUCAUGUUGAAAACAUAUUAUUUUCGUUUGCAAGUAAACUUUAGUCUUAAAAAUACAUACACAUUAUUUUUCGAUAAGAUUUUGUAUCAUACCAUAGUAAAUAACUACUUGUGCUUUAUUAUGAUACUCUUGUUAUUAUUAUUUUAUCAUCUCGUUUAGUUCUUUACUAUUAAUACUUGGUGAAUAAUAAACUUAAUUCCCUAGUAUACACAAGUCAUAGAGAUAUGCCUAUUAUGACAAGUUAAAAGUGUUCAUCUAUCAAGAUUUCGACACAAGUUCUUAACGAUGCCUUUAUUUAUUCCGACGAUUAAUAUAACACUAGAUUACUCUUAUCUAACAUUUUUGUUAACACAAGUGCUUGUAAAUAAGUCUUAACAUUUUAUAAAAUUCUUGUGUAUAACCAUUACUAAUCAGUAUCUUUUUAACAAACUUUAUUUGUAAAAAAAAGAAAUUUAGUGUUUAUAAUAAACAUUCUCUAACAAUUUUGUAUCUAUCACUACUAUGCAUGCAUGUAACACAUAAAUUUUAGCCAUAUUAAUAUAUCAAAAUACUCGGGUACGCGUCUCCCCCCAAAUAAGUGUAAAUGUAAAAACGGGGCCAUAAAGACUCACAUUUGGAGCGUGAUUCUCGAGUUUAGACGGGAGGAUUCGGUGAGGUUUGUGCUUCGUUCAAGACCAGAUACCUUCACCGACAAUAAACGAAUCUAGUUUUAGAUUAUUGAACUUCACUAAGGUGUUCAAAACAGCAAGUAUUUCAGAUUUUUUUAAGGUGAAAUAGACUCACCCAAAACAACUACAGGGGCUGUCGACAGAAAAAUGGGUUGGGCAGUGGUGUUUCCGGCGGCUUCCUCGCCCCCUUUUCUUCCUGUUUUCGCAGCAGCACUUGAGGGGGUAAUUGAGCAGGAAAACAAACGACUUCAGGGGUAUAAUCGGCACAUUUGCUUCCCGAAAUCACAGUAGAAAACACCUCCGAUGGAGGUGUUCUUGAUGAACUUCGAACAAGAGAGAGGAGGUAGAGAGAAAAGAGGUUUGAGGCUGAUCUUUUAUGGGUUAAAGGUCUCUAAUAGUUCCCCUUUUAUACUCUCUUAAAAGCUAUCUUCUAUCCUCCAGGGUGUACCUUUGGCCAUUUUUAGAAGUAACUCUAUUCUCAAAUAAAGGCAUGGGUUUGAAUGGAUGAGAGAGAUGUGAGAGAGAGAGAGAGAGAGAUAGCACGUGAGUUGCAGCCUUCUCAAAGAAGUAACUCUAUUCUCAAAGAAGGAGUGUGCAGCCUUCUCAAAGUACUCUCUUGCCCUUCCCUCCAUAAUGAUUGGUACUUCUUUGUUUACUCAUAAAAGUUACUUUACGCCACCUUACCUAUAUUUGUACUAUGAAGAAUGAUUUUUGUGGGGGAAAUUAAUGCAUGGACAACCCAUAUCGAGUAAGGAGUGAGGAAUGAUACACAUAGGUGUUGACUUUGGCUUUAGUCCCUAGUUCUAGUAGUAUUAUAAGUACUAGACUUUAAAUGGAUUGUUAUAUAUCAAAAGGUAGGAUUUGUGUAUUCAUGAUGUCUAAAUUUCGAGACUAUACCCAUUCAUAUACAAACAUGUAUCCUAUACUUUAUUUUAAUUUGUUACACCCUUGUCAUAUAUUAUGAUAAGGUUUACUUGUAGUUUAUUAUUACGUAUAAUACUUACAAGGACUUUCAUAUCUUUAUAGAUAAGACGUAUUUCACUACAUAUACAUAUUUGGAUAUAUCUUAUUGAUUUUUUUAGCAUAUAACCGGUCGCAUUCCAAUAAUAAUAUAUAUUAAACGAUUCUUAUUGUUAUAAAUAUAUAAUUAUUUUUGUAAGAACAUCGUACAUUAAGUCCUCCAUCACAAUUAGUUAUGGUCGUUAUACGGAGAACCUCGACCUAAUUUUUAUGAUUGUUACAUAUAUAACACAACACAAGAUGAUCUUCUAAUUAAGGACCAAGCAAACUCCAAGCGCUUUCAAAUCUUAGAUGGAAACCUUGCGAACUCUCCAAUCAUGGCUACCUCUAAUAUCAAGAAUUCCAUGCAGAUGCACAAGCAAAAACACUGACUUCUUAUCUAACAAAAUGGAUUACUACACUCCUCGCAUGUAAACCCCAACCAUCAAUUCUUCGCAAGAACCAUUCAUAAAUAUAAAAGGAAUUAUUUUCCUAGUCGGGAUACAUCAGAUACAACAAAAGUUGUCGCUCUCGAUUCACUUCCCUGAUCGCCUGAAACCCUCAUCUAGCACCUGACCUGCCUAUAUCCCAAGAAAACAGACCCUUGAUCUCAUCACAAGGAAACCAUGCCACACGAAUCCUCUUGUGCAUUCCCACAUUGCCGUACUGCCACCAAAACCGCAACCAUCUAUCCCCAUGUUGGGUCUACAUCCCAACUCUGAAAAUCACAUGUCUGAUUUCUCUCUCCUCUAAACACGGAACCUGGAAGUACACAACCUCUAUCGAAGAUAGUGACAUUCCAAUCCAUUUGCCAACCACUCAGUCUCUGGUUGCAAUCCUCAAGCUGAUCAUAAUAAUCACUUCUUUCUUGAGUCUUGCGACUCAACUGACACUACCAUCGAGCAAGGCCCUCGAGACCUCAAAAUCAACCAACUCACCUAGGUCUGCACCAUUCCAAACUGCCAUGGCCACUAAAUCCCAAACAGUCACCAGACUCAUCCUCAUCCUGAACAACCAUAACCAAAAGAUCGACAAAUACAGAAACACCGUCACGAAUCAUGGUACCAACCAUGCCAUCUACCCUAAACCAGCUCCUUAGAAUCCUCGUGAAUUCCCUCAAUUCGAGUAUGGAUCCGGUGAUUCUAGAAGUAAGGGCUCAAUACUACAUUCCACACAUAUCCAUACUUUCCUUAAGAAUUAUCCUAAGUCCUCUAAGUCACCUACUCAUAAUAAUACUGAAACAUCCCAAAAAUAUAGUCCAAAAUUUUCUUUUUAAAAUCAUUUACCAAAGACCAUAAUCCAUCAAUAUCAUAAUAAAAUCAUCAAACAUGUCUCCAAAACAUCAUAUCCAAUUACUGUAUCAAAACCAUAUGAAAAUAUCAGAGUCUAAAAACAUCCCAGGCUAAAACUGUGGUAUGUGCCAUGCAGUCAUCCCGAGCUCUUCCCCUUACUAGCGGAAGUACCUGAAACCAAAACUGAAAACUUUAAACAUGAAGCUUAGUGAGUCUCCCCAACUACCACAUACCAUACAAAUAUCACAUAAACAUAUCUUGGGCCCCGCCCCUGCUACAUCGAGUCAGGCUCAACAUCAGCUUUCCCAGCAUCGGGCCCCGCCCGACAUCAAACCCUAUUCGGCAUCGGUCCCCGCUCGGCAUCGAGCAGAUCUCGGAAUACAUGUGAGAAUAAUCAAAUAAUACACAUAACCCUAAGCAUAUAUCAUUCACAUUUAAACAUUUCCUCGGGCCCCGCCCGACAUCGGACUAUAAUCCGGAAACAUACUAACAUUCCUCGGGACCGCCCUGACAUCGGACCGAAGUCCAGAAACAUACAAGUACAAACACAUGCAAGAAUCACAAAGACAUCAAGCAUAUAAGCAAUCCUCAAGACCCCCCUCCCCCGACAUCGGAUCGCAAUCCGGAAAAGCAUAUAAACCUACAUCGGGCCCCGCCCAACAUCAGACCAUAGUCCGAAACUACUACUAGCUAAACGGGUCGGCCUUGGUGCCUUACACUCAUUCCUACUAGAUGAAACUCACCUCGAAUGCUAGCUGUGAAAUCUCAUGUGGGAAUCUCUGACGGCUGCUCAAACGACUCCCCGACUAUCAAUUUCACAUAAACACUUAAUCAAAAACCUGAUAACUCUUCUUAUGGUAAAAUGACCAUUUUACUCCUGGUUAAUGUCAACGUACUGGUGAAAGUCAAAGUCAAUGUCAACUCCCAGUCAACCCAACUCGUCGAGUUAUCUCCCAACUCGGCGAGUUCCUGUACUACUCAGACUCGUGGUCAAUCGAGUCAACUCGUCGAGUUGUAUCUAGCAUACAGUCGGGACAACCCGACUUUAACUCGUCGAGUCCCUUAUUGGACUCGUCGAGUUCCUCUGUCUGUUUGGGCUAUCUUAAUGGAUUAAGCCCCUACACUUCAUAUCUAAGCUUCAUACUUCACAUAAACCCUGAAAAUGUCAUUUUAAGGGUAGAGUUUCUGACUUUACCCAUUAAUACCACUUCUUAAAGGGUUUAGCUCAAACCCUAAUUCCUUGGGAUCUAGAACGUGGUCCUUAAGCCUUCCAUACACCUAACUCAAGUUGACAACCUCAGAUCUAAACCUCUAAUGCUACUUGGACACGUAAAGUCCCCACCUUUCCCACAUGCAUGGCCUUUUGGGGCUAAAAAGGCCAAUAUGACUCUCUAAUGCUUGCAUGGGGGCUCCAAUGACAUAAAGUUUGCACCAUUAUGCCAUAAAAGCCCCUCUAGGUACUAGAUCUGGAAGAAUACCCUCUUGGUUCGAUCAUUUCCCAAAAUCUAUAAAUCUUGGACCAAAAACCCACAUAAAUAAGACAUAAAUAGAUCUAUUGAACUAAUAGCCAAGAUAGAAGCUAGAUUACCAGAAAAGGUAUCAAAUGGAGUGUAGUUUCUGGAUCUACUCUUCCCUUCUUGAGCCCUCUAUCUUCUUCUUCUUCCACAAGCUUCAAAAGCACACAAAGGUCACUUAAAUGGCUCACACUCUCAAAGAAAGCUCUAGGGUUUCGUGGAUUAGAGUUUGGGACAAAGAGGCUGUAAAUGAGACCAAGGGAUGGGGGUUAAGGAGCUUAAAUAGGGUGCAAAAACCCGAUAUUAGGGUUUCAUCCUGGCCGAGCUACUCGUCGACUUGAGGGCUCCUGACUCGUCGAGUAGAAAGCUCAAACCCCAUGCAUAAUCUGCCUUCUACUCGACGAGUUAGGGCCACCAACUUGUCGAGUUCCUCUCCUAAAAUGAAUACAUAAAUGAGUUGACUGCAUACCAGGAACCAUGUGUUACAAAUACUCCUAAUACCCACUAAACAACAUAGUAACUGCACUAAAUCAUAUCCUAGGUUUUCCUAGGAUCCUCACAUCAUCCUAUCAUUAGAUGUCGAAAGACCCCCAUUAGUGUCAAUUAACUAUUUCAUGAAUACAAUCACAUGCAACAUGACUUAAAUAAUUUUAGAUUAAAAGACUCAACCUAAGGAUAUCAAUGGGACCAAACGAGGGUGGAAAUAGUUGCCCCCACCCCCGCCCCUGCCCCGGUAAAAAACUGUUGCUCCUGCCCCCGGAUACCUAGCCCCCGAUUCCGCCCUUGAAUACCUCUAUUGCCCGCCGGUCCCACCCCCGUUCCCCCGUUUAUGGGCUCAAAAUUGAUUUUUUUUUCUAAAAAAGUGCUAUAUUUUGGGUUUAAAAAAACUACCUUUCAUAAACUAAUUCACAACAAACAAAACUUAAAUCACAACAACAUUAUAUCAAACAUCAAGUUAGCAAAACUAAAAAUUAUCACAACAAUCUUUCACAUCAACUAAACUACAAUAACAAUUCAAAAUUCAAUUUACAACAAAUUCACUACAACUUAAAUCCAAUUUCAAUUCAGAUUUCAAAAAAGAAACCAGAAUCGAAAUAAGCACACUAUCAAUAGAAAUCAAUCCAGAAAUCAUAGUUUUAAUUAAAAAAAGAAACUAGAAAAUCGACAAUCAUACAAACUAGAAAACCGAGCUGGACUAGAAAUCAUGGUCUCGUUUGAACUGGAACAAAUAAGAAAUUACCAAAAACUUCACAGAAAAAAGAGUACUUAAUGUCAGAGACAAGAAGAACGGUUGACCGGCGCUGGCAGAGGAAGGUAUGUUGUUGGCAAGUAAACAACGACUGGCGGACGAUGGCAGGCGAAGUCGAGUUGUACUCUGUUGUUAUUCCAUUUGUGGUAUUUUACUCUUGUCGUUGACUCGUUCGAUUGCAAUAGAGGGGAUGUGAGUCAGCAACUCAGUGAAUGUAAUUUGUGAACUGUGAAGAGUGAUGACGAAGAUGAAGACGUGAUUGCUAGAGAGUACAGACGGGAAAUUACGAAUUUAAUAGAAAGGGGACUAGAAGGCGACAUGAAGGUUGAAGUCGUAUGCGUGAAGUGAGAUUAAGGGCGGAAAGUAGGAAACCCUAAAUUGGAUAAUCUAUUUUCUAUACAUAUUUUAUAUUAAAUAUAUAUUUUUUUAUAUCAAUAUACAAACGGGGCCCCCGCGGGAGUACGGGACGGAAAUGCCCACUAUCGACCCCGAUCUCGAAAAUAAACGGGGUUUAAUCCUGCUCCCGCUCCCAAUUUUUUUAAAUUACUCUCGUACGGUAUCGGUAUCCCACGGGAACGAGGUCCCACGGGGGUUUUUGACAUCCCUAACUCAACCCUACAACUGUCGGACUCAGACAAUAAUUGCGCAAUAUGACCAAAUUAGUUUUUUAAAGAUUAUUUAACAUUUGCAGCAUGUGACUUAACGUAUUCAUUUAGUAGUUAAUUCACACCCGAAAGAGUUCUACAAAGCACAAAGCAAGCAACAUUCGAGCAUAAAACUCCAUAGGGAAUAAGGCAUCAAAAUUAAGGCAAAUUUAACAUGCAAUUCUUGAGGAUCCCUACCCUAAAACUAGCAUGCAAUUCUAUCAUAAUCAUCAUAAGCAAAUAACAGUGUGGGUAUCUUGAGGUAAACUUUCUUGUUCCGACUGAUCGUACACAUCUCAUAAUUCCUUAGUUACUUUUGAAAAUAAUUUGAAAACUGUUACAGAUCCUUAGUUUGAGUCUGGAUUCACACGAAUGUUCAUCCAAUUCUAUCAAACCAGGGCUCUAAUACAAACUAGUAACAUCCCGAAAAUCAAGGUAAGAUUUUUCAUUUUUCAAAACCAAACCACAAACCAGAAAUGUUUACAAACUUAGUUUCCAAAAGUCAAAAUCACAAAUCAGAGUAUCCCAAAAUCAAAUCUCAUAAAACUAGAGGAUGUGCACGAUAAUGCCUUCGCCUUGCCCUGAUCAUUCGAAGUACCCGAAACAUAAAACUAAAACUGUAAGUCAAAGCUUAGUGAGUUCCCCCAAAAUACCACCACACAACAUAACAUAUACAAUCAUGCAUGUUGGGUCCAAUCAAUCGUCAGUUUGGAAUACCCUCGGGUCUACAACCAUCGGGCUAGAUUACCCCCGAUCCAAUCAGUCAUCGCACUAGAUUACCUAUCUACAAUAGGUCCAAUCAGUCAUCGGACUGGAAUAGCAUUGGGUCCAUAGCCAUCGUACUGGAUUACCCCCGAGCCCACAAUAUGAGUCUGGCUUGCAUUCCGAUCCCACAACUCAUGUCUUGAUUGCUCCCAGGUUUGUUAGCCUCCGCACAGAGCAGUUUUGCCUCAACCUAACUACAUUAUGUCGAUAUAUGCAACAUAUAAGACAUAUAACAACAAACAGAUACUCAUGCAGAUCUUAACAGAUCGCUAUAGGAUAGCAACAUCCUAAACCAGGAUACACAAUCUACUAGACCGACAUUAGUGCCAUCGACCGACAAGUAUAAUGAGGAAACUCACCUCACAGUCCGAAAGAUAACAGAAAAUAAUGCUGCUCCAACGCCAACUCUACAUGUCACCUAUACAACAAACAAUGACCUAGUCUCAAACUAGUACUUAAAAUACCCAAAAUACCCUUAGGUCAAACUUAGUCAAACCACAGGUCAAAGGUCAAAGUUAACAAGUAAAAAAGUCUAAGGAAAGUCAAUCUAGUUGAGUACGCCCUGCGUACUCAACUACUACAUUGGGCGUAGUCGCAUCUCGUCCAAAACCACGAGACUCUAACCUACUAUGCACAACUUACCUAUUGGUACACCAAACGUACUCCGUAUGAAUCCAAAACUUCAAAUUAAGAACUUAUUCCUUAAAGACCUCUCGUCCAAACUCAGAUCUAGAUCCAUAACAUCAUUCUUAGUAAUAAGGUUUCCACCUUUAUGACUUUCCAUGGAUAGACAAGGCCCAAAAGCUAAAACCCUAACCUAAUAAUCCAUUAAGACAUCAUGACUCUUACAUGGAAGGGAUAUAAGGACCAAGAUCUCAUUUUUAUAGUUCUUAAGAGCUGCAUAAUGGAUAAAGUUUCCAACUUUAUCCAUCAGGAUGGUCCAAACAACCAAGAUCCAAUCUUUAAGUCUCAAAGGGACCAAAAGUGCUGCUUUCUUCACAGCAUCAGGAUGAACAUAUGAAUCUUCCAUGAGUGACUUCAUCUUGAGCAGUUUGGGCAUUUUCUUCAAAAUCAUGGCAUUGAACGCACAUUGGGUGAGGAGGCUUGAUGAAAAGAUUCUUGAAAGAUAGCGCUUUCAGCUUGAGAAUCUUCAGAGAGAACAAAUUUUAUGGAUCACUUCAGCAGGUUUAAGAUAGCAACAGAUUGAUUGAUGAGGCUUCAAUGCAAUCCGUCACAUAAUCUUCAAUUGCAACUUCACCUUGCUUCUGGGGUUGAAACAUUGAAUGUCGAAAGAAUAAUCUUCAUUUCUUGCUCCUUCGAAUGAGAAUUUUCCGAUGAUCACGGAUGAAACAUUGGCUCAGAAAUCUUCGACACAAACUCCAUGAGUUUCAUCUUCACCUGAAUUCACUAUUCAAGACAAAACAAAACUAAAAGAAAAAUUUAGCACACAAUAUUUUUGGAUUUUUCAUAUUUUUUGAAAAAGAAAUAAAACAUAAAUAACACUAUUUUUGGAUUUUUAAUUUUCUGAUUUUUGUUUGGUUUUUAAAAUUUUUAAUUCUCCCCUAAUAUUUAAAUUAGAAGAAACUAUGAACAAAUUUAACAAAAAUAAAAUGAUAUCUAACUUUAAGAGUGAUUUGGGAUCAAAGUUUUUAGACAACCUUUAUCCGUUCAUCAGUACCUCUCCCUUCAUGAAUAGAUCUGGUCAAUCGCCAGUAUUGUGGUCCACUUAAACACGAGAGAUUGUGACAAAAUUAGGACAUACUAUAAGUGACAAGACAAUGUGAUCCUAAGUUCCUAGAUAAUAUUCCUUAAGGACCAUUCAGCCGACGACGACCAAAGAUAUUGUUGUCCACCUAAAUUGAGCAGCGAGAUCUACAGACAACCUAGUGAUUGUUCAAUUUUAAAUGUACUAGAACAUGUUUCCCGCUUCCUGACAUACCCCAAUAAUCAGGAGCUUCUAAAGUACUCCUUACUUUAGGUGAGCAGACAAUUAUUAUGAGAGAAGUCAGAUUUAGAAUGCAUAUGCUAUACACCCAGGUUGGAUAUCUUCCAAUCUCGCAGAGGGUGAAACAUAUGACUAACCAGAUUUAGAGGGAUUGAGAAGUAGAAUGGUGCAUAUGUUGUGUACCAGGUCGGAUGUAUUUCAAUAACGCAAAGGAGACAACAUAUGACUAACAAACAUGAAGAAUUGCAUAGAUAGAAGAUGCAGAGAAAUAGAAUUGCAUAUGUUAUAGUCCAGGACGGAUCUCUCGAUCACGCAAAGGAAGCAACAUAUGACUAACAGACAGAUAGAGAGAAAAAAAAAUUCUACAGGCCUAAUUUAUUGGAAUUCCCCAGUAGCCCCAUCAAUACCGGAAUUAAGGACAAAAUCCGUACAUCGAGGAAGAGUUAAUCCACGGUUCCAGAUACAGGUUCUUUUAAUGUGACCAGUAGAUUCCCAUAUUUAUCUCCCUGCUCAACCUAUCCAAGCAUCGUAUUGUCAGGCUAAACGGAUUUAACUAGGUCAAAAUUUGUCAAGUGUAUGAAUUCAUUAAGUUCAACUCUGCCUAGUCAAGUCCUUUUAGAAUCUUUCGUGCCUACCGGCGAAUCAAACACAGAGCAUAGACAAUUUAAUUUUGGGUACGUUACGCAGACUCAGAUUGCCUGUUAUCACUUGAUAAUAUCACUUCCCAGUACUAUAUCUACAAGAAAAAUUGUAAGCGACAAUAUUUUUGAUUUUUCUGAAUUUUUUAAUGUUUUUGGAUUUUUAAACUUUUCUAAUUUUUGUUUUGUUUUUAUUUCUCCCCCUAAAUUUGUGCAUAGGAGAUAAACGAAAGUAAAUGCGCAAAUUUAAACUAUCCUAAAACAAAAAUUUGUCUUUGAAGCGAAUCAGAGUAAGAUAAUCUCAUGAGUAUAGAGAAGAAAACGCAAACCGUAAUUCACCGAUUGAAUUUGCAUCCAGAAGGUCUGAGAACAACACACAUAAUCUCAGAACAGAUCCGAAAAUUCUUCAUGUCAUUAAGCACUAACCCGAUUUGUGAUUUCUUCCUUUCUUCCUUUCCCGCAAAAGGACACAUACUCUCAAACAAUGUUCUGAGUGUUGUAAAGUUGAGAGGUGUCCCCUAUCAUGUGCCUGGAAUAGCCACUACCAGCAAACCGAAGUCUGAUGAUAUGCCUCCAUAGCUGCUCCGACACAGAGCGUGAUUAGUUGGUCUUUGGAACCCAGUCCAUUUUGAAACUGGGUCGACCUUUGUCAUCUUUGCAAGAUACAUUCUCCCACGACAUGUCCUGUUUAUCACAAACAGAAGAUGUAGAUAUAUUAGAGUUAAUAGUUGAUUUGGGAGAUUGAGCUUUCGGAACCCAUUUGUAGUUAGGUUUAACUCGAAACAUCACUUUUCCCGUUUUACCCUUUGACUAAAAAAUAAGUACCAAGGGCUCAGAUUACAUAACCAAUAUUAUCAACAUCUGAUAGGGUCUAAACCAUUUUCCCUUGAAGCCUAAGGACUUUACUUGGUUUAUUUAUUAUCCACAAUCCCGAAAAUAAUGAACUUCUCGAAAGAGGAUGUUAGAUGUUUACUUGGUUUAUUUAUUGUCAACAAUCCCGGAAUAAGGAACUUCUCGAAAGAGGAUGUUAGAUGUUUGGAGUUGCCACAACUUGGUGGAAGCAUCACCACGACAUGGCGAGAAAUUUUUGGUCGCGAGUUUCAUUUAACUCGCCAUGGCGUGGCGGUCUAUGGGCCACGACGUGGCCGCCGCUGGUGACUUAAACCCUAAUUUUUUUGGAUUUGUACCAUAUUUAAAGGAAUGAGGAGGCUAGGGUUUGUUCGCCCUCAGCCUCCAUCACCCUCCUAAGCUCUGGAGAAACCCUAAUCCUUUUCUUCCAUUGUUGAAGCUCAUUUUAGUGCUUUUGGAAGAUUUUACAGGAAUAAGGAAGAAGAAGUGAGCCAAGAUUCUUCAAGCAAGAUUCCAUUUAUCAUUCAAGCACACUUUGGGGCCUCUGUAAGUGUCCAAGACUCAACCUUAAUGUUGUUAGGUUGCUAGAUCUUUAGUUUUGUCAAAUAUUCUUCUUGUUCUUGUUAGUUAGGAUGGUGAGAUCCCAUAAAGUUUGCAACUUUAUGAAUAUCUGAGACAUUUGGAGUAGUUGAUGGUUUGGAUCUAAAGUAUGGUUGGAUUUUGAACCAUACAUGAGGUUUUUGGUCAUAAUCCUCAUAUUUUUUUUUUAUCUAAUAUGAGCUCAAGACAUGCAUUAAACAUGCAUGUCUAUAAAGCACCGACUUUUAUGUUAGUUUUAGUGUUAGAAACUCUUCUGGAAUUGAUGGGCUAAGAACUUUAGAGAUUAAGUGCAUAAUGGUUAAGCCCAUGUCGUGUUUUGACUUUUUGGACCUAGGGUUUGAGAUCUUGAUCUCUUGGGGAGUCUUAAAGGAUAAAGUUGGAAACUUUAUCCAUAUAGACCAUGAGAAGAACCAUAUCUAAGCUUUGGAGCUUUUGGGAUCAGAGGAGACAACUUAACCCAUUAAGCUGUUAAGAACCCAAUGCCCACGACGUGGCCUUAGGUUGCCACAACGUGGCAACUGGGAAAUUAUCGUCUGUUUUGUCGAUUGUGGGCCAUGACAUGGUCAUGGAUGGUGACGACGUAGCAAUCGACUGAAGUCAACUUUGACCGUGGACUUUUUGACUUGAGUUAACUUUUGGUCAAACUCCUAGUUUUGGAAUGUGGGCUAAGGGUUUACCUUGUUGAAUGUAUAGGUGGUGUAUAACAUCUGUAUAUUCAGCAUUGAGAGCAGUAACAGUUGAUUGUCGCUUGGGAGGCGAGUCUUCUCACUGUACUCGUGGGUCAAAGGCACCAAUGACGACCCCGGGGGUAGCCCGUGACAUUUGUAUGAAAGACCAUAGGGAUAGCUCAUGACACUUAUGUGUAAGACCUUAGGGUAGCCAAGACAGUGCAAGGGAAGACCAUGGAGGCAGCCUAUGUCAAUGGUAUGAAAGACCAUGGGGUAGCCCAUGACACUUGUAUGCAAGACCAUGGGGGUAGCCCAUGACAAUGUAUGUGUGGUAUGUGGUAUUUUAGGAACUCAUUAAACUUUGUGUGUAACAUACUGUUCUCGAUCGUCCAUGAUUUAGGGAUCCGUGGGCUGCAAACCGGGCAUGAGGAAGUCUCAGGGCUGCGACAGUUUGAAGAUUGGGCAAGAUAAGUCCUUUAAUUGAAAAAGGUGGCAACAGAGUACGCUAGGCGUACAUGUGUGUACGCUUAGCAUACUCUUGUGCGUGACUUUUAAGCGGAGCCACCUAGUAUGUUGGGCGUACCAUAGGGUACGCUGGGGGUACUAGGCAUAUAAGGAAACCCUAAAUAAGGGGGUGCCCCUAUAAAAAGAAUGAGAUGGCCUCAUUCCUAGCCACCAUUCUCAGUCAACAAACCCUCCAAAACCCUAAACCUUCGUUCAUAGAGCUUGUGAGUGCAUUUGAGAGCCUUUGAGUGACUUUGUGUGUUCUUGGAGUGAAGAAGAACCUUUGGAGAAGAAGGAGUGAGAGUCCAGGCCCUUGGAUCUGAGCAUAUCUGUGUUGGGAGCUUCAUAUUGAGGUAUAAAGCUUCAAUCUUUCUCACUCUUUUGAUUUGUGCAUUAUAGUAGAGUAUUUUAGGGUUUUUGUCCCAAUAGUUUGAGACUUGAUGAAAUAUUGAGCUCCAAAGACUAUGAUCAACUCUUUUGAGUUCAAUUAGUGGUGUAGUGUCAUAAAAAUCAAGCCUUGGUCGUUGGAAUCAAGCCAUGCAAGAGAAAUGAGCUUGUUGAGAUGAGAGAAUGUGUUUAGUGUGUUUAUGACCAUAUCAUCCAUGCAAAGGCUCAAAGUCACUGACUUUAUGGAGUAAGAGCUAUUAAGAAGUCCAGAUUUGAGAAAUGAGCUAAGGUCUUAACGGGUUAAGACCAAGAGAAUGGGCUAAGCAAAACUGGGCGUACGCCCAGCGUAAUUCCAGUACGCCCUGCGUACUGGGUUGGUGUCCCCGAUCAGAUUCGUGCCUGCUAGAGUACGAUGAGCGUACCAAGGGAGGUACGCCCCGCGUAACCUCACUGUGAGCUUUUUGGGCUGAAUUUUAUAAUAGGCCUUGAGGGUUGGGCCUGGAUCUUUGGGCUUGUGUGUUAGAGACUUUGAGCAGAGAAAUAUUAUAUUAUGCCUUGGGCACUUGUGUUGGGCUUGUCACUUGGACUUGAGAGUUGGGCCUCAGGAGAGCCCAAUCAUUAUCGGGCCUUGGUGGGCCCAACGAGGUUUAGGUUAUUAAUGGGCUAGUUAGUGGACUACCUUUAGACCUAAAGAGUAAGGAUUUGGACAUAGAUCUUAAUGGAGUAAUUGUGGAUUUUGGUCCAGCGUUAGAGACUGGUUCAGCAACAACAUCUAUAUGAGCUGUUCAUCAUCCGAGGUGAGUCUUCUCACUAUACUUUACCUAGAGUGGUAACUUUUGUGUGACCGGAGGGUCUUAUGUGCUUAUAUUGAGUAUUGUGAUAUCCUGCAUUAUGUCUUUGUGAUUUAUGCUGUGUAUAUUUCUGAGCUUACUGAGUUACGACCGGAGGGUCUAUCUGAGUCAGGACCGGAGGGUCCGCCUGAGUUGUGGGACUGGAGGGUCCCACUGAGACACAAUGACCGGAGGGUCUUAUUGAUCUAUAGCCAUGAGAGGCUAAUGACAUAUGUGUGGUAUUUUGGGGAAUUCAAUAAGCUUCGUGUUUACCGUGUUAUGUGUUUCAGGUUCUUUUCAGGAUCGCAGGAAGGCGUCGACUUGAUUGUACACACCAGAGAAAGAGUUAUGCUUUGAGGAUCCUGGAUUGUUAAUUAAAUAAUUAUGGAGUUGUGUUUUUUGUAAAUUAAAUAAAUGGGAUUUUUGUGAAAUGUGUUAUGAGAAUUAUGUGAUUUUAAAUGAAAAUUUUGUUUGAAAAUUUACGGUAUUACAUUGUUCUUAUUGUUUUGUGGUUUAACUUUUCAGGUAUUUCUAGCUCGAAAGGUGAUGGGUUUUGGCCAUAUGAACAUUCCUAUGUGCACAUGCAAACCCUAAUGCUUGGAUCUAGGUUUCUCUAAUUAAACAUGCAUUGGAUCCAAGACUUCUAAUAGCUAAUAGAGUAUUAGAACAAUACAAAAUCAGAAUUAGAAGCAUACCUUGAAACACGUGUUUGAUCUUUUAGUUCUUGGAGCUUUAGAGUCACAAAUGUCACUCCUCUAAUGGCUUACAAACACCAACUAGCAAGAGGAUGAUUUGAGAGAGAGGAGAGGGAAGAAAUCAGCCAGGGUUUCUUUGGUUUAGCAGAGGUGCCGAUUUCCCUUGCCCCAAGGGUCUAUUUAUACUUGUAAGGCUCCUAGGGUUUACCCUUAAACCCUAGUUGGAUAAUCUUUUACUCAAAUCAAUCCAAAUCCUUUCCAAGAUAAGCCCUUGGAUGAUUUGUGGCUUAUCCUAAGCCCUAGAAAUCGUCCAACCCUAUCCAUAAAGGAUUUACAGCCCAAAGUGUAACUAUCAAACACUUGACAGUUUAUACCCUCUUAUUUAAUUAAUCUCUUUAAGUCACCAAAUUAAUUCUAAUUAAUUUAUGACUUAUAUUAAUCAAAUAACAAUAUUAUUAUUCCUUAUAUUACUCUCAUAAUAUAUUAAUAAUAUUUAUUCUCUCAUAAUAAAUCAUCCUGUCAAGUUGCUAUGGUGAAGGCAACCCAAAAGGACCAUGCACAAUCGGGUCAAAUACUUGCCUAAUAUAGUUGCAGCCUUAGACACUAUUCUAACAAAAGGAAGGGCCCGACAUGAUCACACAA